CUCUCUCUCUCUCUCUCUCUCUCUCUCUCUCUCUCUCUCUCUCUCUCUCUCACACACACACACACACACACACACACACAUAUAUAUAUAGAGAGAGAGGCUAUAAUAGAUAAAAGUUAUAUAUCAGAGAAAAUCAUACCACACACAUAAAUCAUGUAUGGAGUAUCAAUAUAAUCAUUAUAUCAGAAAACUGACCAAUGUGUUCAUUAGUCAGUAUUUUGUUUAUAUAUGUAUAUAUAGCAUAAUUAUAUAUUGUCUCUUCAAAUUAUUAAAAUAAUUGACUUUCCUGCCAUUAUCUGCUUCUCUAACAUAUAUCAGUCUGUGUGUUUGCAAAAUACCUGUCUACAGUCAAGCUUAAUAUCAGAAUAUUCUAUUACCUAUUAUUAUUCUCGCUAUAGAUAUUAAAAUACCCCGAACCAUUUGUCCUGUAUCAUAGCUACAUGUAUGACGUUAAGAUGGAUUAAAUGCGCUGUCAAACAGCGCUGAGUGGAGCGGGUGACCGGACCAAGAUGGCGGCCCCACCACUCGUCAGACCCAAUAGGCAGUCGUGGUCGAUGUGGAGUCUACUCUUUAUAUAUGUUUAUGGUUGUCACUGUUUAUGUGCUCCUCCAUUCGACAAAUGAAGCUAAAGCUUUAAGAAAGAAGCCUUCAUUCAUUUUACAACAUGUCAGAGCUGAAGUUAAAAUGUUUUUUUGAGCUAAAUGUUUUUAUUAACUUAUAACACCGAAAACAAAGCAAACCCGGAAGCAGCGUGCAACGUCACUCGCAAACAAUGCGGCAAAGCAUGAUGGGUAAAUGUACGAUUAUUAAUCACUAAAAUAUCGUUUUGAAAUCAGUAAAAUAACGUGAAAUAAGUGGUGUCAUGCCGUCAUAUUAUGUGACCGUAAUGUUUGAGCGUAAAAUCGGGGUGCUGAUAAUUUCUGUGACACCGUCAGUCUGACUCGUAUGCGGCUGAAUGACUGCCUACAGCCGGACGUGUAGAAAUCAUACUUACCUGGCAGGGGAGAUACCAUGAUCAAGAAGGUGGUUCACCCAAGGCGAGGUGGGCUGGAUAAGACUCAACCCUGUGAAGAAAUUGCAGAAGAAUCCCAACAGAUUGACUCUGCUUUUGAAGACUUCCAGAUCAGCAUGACACAAAGACUCAGUUCUGCUCCACACAGACCUUUCCCUUCCCGCUGCUGUCGGCUCCGUCUCGACCGCCGCAGCAUCCAGUGCCGAUGCCGCGAUGCUGGGUGGCCGGCAGGUUCUUGUACACGGCCCGGCUGUAUGGGAUGAAGCACAGGC